AAUCCUGUUGACAAUUUGGCGACGGAGAUGGAGGCGUUAAAUCGGAUCGUCAACCAGGACGAAAUGAUGGAUGAAAGUACAACGCCUCAACCUGGUGUUGCCUCGGACAGCGCGGAGGUCCCAAAAACUCCGAAUCCUACCCCGAACGAGAAUAAGAAAAAAAAAAAAAAUUGGCGAUGGUGGGACAAAAAAAGGCCAGAAAACAAAAAGAAAAAACGUCCGCAUCUGCGUCAGAUACUCCACA